rnacentral:ncRNA from 1 species
GGGUUUAGAACGUCGUGAGACAGUUCGGUCCCUAUCUGCCGUGGACGUUUGAGAUUUGAGAGGGGCUGCUCCUAGUACGAGAGGACCGGAGUGGACGAACCUCUGGUGUUCCGGUUGUCACGCCAGUGGCAUUGCCGGGUAGCUAUGUUCGGAAGAGAUAACCGCUGAAAGCAUCUAAGCGGGAAACUUGCCUCAAGAUGAGAUCUCACUGGGAUCUUGAAUCCCCUAAAGGGCCGUCGAAGACUACGACGUUGAUAGGUUGGGUGUGUAAGCGCUGUGAGGCGUUGAGCUAACCAAUACUAAUUGCCCGUGAGGCUUGACCAU